ACUUAGCAGAGAAGCUUUGGUGCCUUCGGGAACUAUGAGACAGGUGAUGCAUGGCUGUCGUCAGCUCGAGUUGUGAAAUGUUGGGUUAAGUACCGCAACGAGCGCAACCAUUAUCAUUAGUUGCCAGCGAUUCUGUCGGGAACUCAAAGGAGACUGCUAGUGAUAAACUGGAGGAUUGUGGUUAUGACGUCAAGUCAUCAGGGCCCUUACGAGUAGGGCUAC
rnacentral:rRNA from 1 species